rnacentral:lncRNA from 1 species
AUCAAUUCGGUGUGGUGUCCCAGCCCAGCCUCUGGAGUCAAGUUUCACCUCCUGAGUGGAGUCCUGCCUCCUACCUCAGGAAGAUUGAGCCCAGGUGUUCAAGACCAGCCUGGACAAAACAGCCAGACCUCAUCAUGAAUUAGAGUAGGCUCCGCCAUCUAGGUUUGUGUAAGGACACCCUGUGAUGCUCACACAAUGACAAAAUCACCUAAGCAUGCACUUCUCAGGGAGUAUCCCUAUGACUACUCCCUUUUGUGGACAUUCGGGUUGUCAGGUCUAUUUCUGAAGCACCCGGAAACAGUCAGUUCUGGCAUUUUAGAGAGGUUCUGUAUCUGCAGCCUUGUUCUGUGCAAGCCUACUGGGUGUCUCUUUCAGAACAUAUCCCGAUUUCGGAGAAAUCCCCCACCAUCCUGUCCAUGAUCGAGGGCACCAAGAACUGAUGCUUGAGCCAGACACUCAACCACAAACUGCACUUCAGGGAGGCCCACAGCCUUUGAGGAGGUUUGGAGUCCGCUGCCUAAUUAGGGCUCUUCAUCUUGGUAGGUAACACAGGAGGGAGUGGAGCCUGGGGUUUAGGAAGUGUGGCACCGUUAGCAUACACAGAGGAAGCUCAUAAGUGCUCUGCAGGAGCCCAAAUGGUGCUGAGGUCUGUUUCAUACGAAGAGUCUCGGAGGCCAGGAUUCAGCUGAGGAGACAGAUUCCUGUCCUCGGGUCUCCCUGCCAUAACUCUGGAAGACAACCUUGAACCAGUGGAUAUGAUUCUUGUAGGAUAUUAAAUAUGUCUCUUUUCACAGUCAUGCUAUUUAUUUACUCAACACUUUUUAUUUUUUUUGAGACAGAGUAUUGUUCUGUGGCCCAGGCUGGAGGGCAGUGGCACAAUCUUGGCUCACUGCAACCUCCGCCUCCCGGUUCAAGCAAUUACCAUGCCUCAGCCUUCCGAGUAUCUGGGGUUACAGGCCUCCGCCACCUUGCCCGGGUAAUUUUUUGUAUUUUUAGUAGAGAUGGGGUUUCACCAUGUUGGCCAGGCUGGUCUCAAACUCCUGACCUCAGGUGAGGAUCUGCUUGCCUCAGGCUCCCAAAGUGCUGGGAUUACAGGUGUGAGCCACCUCACCCAGCCUUUUUUUUUUCUUCAUAUAGGGUGCAAAGGUACAUUCUCUCCCGCUCUUAUUAUCACAAAUGUCAAAUUAUGAAUUAAAGAUGUUUUAUUGUAGCUGCUCUUGCAAUGUGAAUGUGUGUGUGUGUGUGUGUGUGUGUGUGUGUGUGUGUGUGUGUGUGAAUGUGUCAUAUUUGCAUUUGGGCCGGACCUGAAUGAAUGACUUUAGAAUGAGACUCUAAUGAGGAUGACACAGGCGGCUUUCGAGGGAUGAGACCUCCCCGGAGAAGGACAGAGACAUUAUUUGGCUGUCUUCUUUCCGGAGGGUAAGGAUUUGGCUAAGAAUUUUAAACACUCACGUCCUCCAGCUCACAGGAGUGGGUCAAGAGCAGCUAGAGGGAGUGCAGAGAGGCCGGUGUCGAUGUUCCAGAAAAGUGAGACGAGGGAUGUGGUCGAUGACUGCCCUGCCAGCCGGGUGCAAAUAAUGCAUGGGAAGGUAUACAAGUCCGGUGGAAAGAACCCUGGGCUGGCGAUAAGGAGAUUGGCCUGUGACCUUGGGUGAGUUCUGUUUGGCUUUGAGCAAGUCGCUUAAGCUCUCUGUGCUGAAGCAUGUGACCGCGCAUGGAAAACAGGCCAGAGAUCGGCCUCCGUACCUCAGGAGACUGAGUGGGUUGUUAGGUACAAAAUGCCUGAAGUCCUUUCCACAGCAAGGCAGGGCAUACACAGACCUAUCAAUAAAACUGAAGGCAUCAGGAAUCCUGGUGGGGAAACUGAGGCCCAGCCCAGGAAAGCCCUGUGCCCAAGGAUCCGGGGAUUGUCUCCAUCCUGCCUUUAGGGAAAAGCAAGCUACCCAUCUAGGGUCUGGGUAGAGCACCCCGGGAAGAGCAAGGAGACAUCCCAGAUGGAGGCCCUGCCAGGAACACAGGCCAUUUCCCUUGCAAAGAUGAAAUUCAAAUCUGAGGUGGCAUCAGUGCCAGGGGAGGCAGCUGGGCACAGAUGUGUCUUGGGAGGAUCUGGGGGCAGCGGAUCAUGUCACAUGAGAGCACCGGACCAGGAUUCGGCCUGACCCCUCCCUCCUGUGACUCUGAGCCCUCAGGCUGUGGGGGCUGACUGUCCCACCGCCCAGGUCAUUCUCGGCACUGCCCCAGAGCCAUAGCGGAGGCAGGGCUGGCAUAAAGGGGGCCCUGGGACGACCCCAGGCCCUAAGGCCUCCAGGCCUGUCCGGGCCGCCCAGCUAGGGAGGCUGAGAUGGCCGCUCGGCCCCAGCCAGCAUAUGCAUUAGUAAUGGCCACUGAUCCUGCUGGCCCCGCGCCCUGUUUCCAGAGUGGGGCAGUAAUCUGAGCCCGGCUGCCCACUGCCUCCAGGCUCCACCCUACGUUGCUGGGGCCAUUGAAUGCCUCUACUUUUCCUUGUUCUCAGCUCUGCAUCGAAAUGAAGAGAAACACAAACCAGCGAUGUCUCCUCAACGUCCUGGGCGUUAGCUGUUCCCACCAUCACUUCAUAGAGAGGUUUCUGGAUGGGAAGCGUUAGGAAAGACCCAGGGAGGCCUCUGAGGACACCUUGCGCAGAUGUGAGGCCUUCCUGGGCUGGGCCUCAGUUUCCUUACUGGGGGUGGACAGGUCUGUUCUGAGGCUGUCACUGGCACUGAUGUUCUGGGGUCCUGGGGCCCAUUGCUUGCCCUAAUGUGGGGGGUCACUCUGGUGGAGGGGACCCGGUCAGACCAUAGCAGGCUAGACCGUGUGUGGUGACAGCAACACGGCCCAGUGGCAGAGGCUCCUGGGGGUGGGGGCAUUAGGGGAUGAAGCAGGCCUGGAGGAUGGGUGGAUCCAGAGAGCACUGGUGAGUGGGGGGGGUGCCUCAGCUCAGGGGGCAGGCCUGCGGGAUGGGGGGACCCCUGGGACAUUUAUCCAGCCUGAGACUGGAGGCAGCUCUUCUUACCUUCCUGGGAAGGGCCUUCAGCCCUGCCUCUCCCCCUGCACCCACCUGGCAAACCUUUCACUCCCAGCAGCUCUGGGAUGUCUCUCGAGGGACCCAGGCUCCGUCCUGAGCCUGUGGCCUGUCUCCGGCAGCUGCCCUUGGGUGGGAAGGUCCUGGCUGGCCCCAGAGGUUUUUCCUAAGAGCCUGUAAUUCUCCCCGGAGAGAUAAGGCAUGGUUACAUGGACUCAUAUCACACUGGCAGAGAAAGCGCCUCCAGGAAUUAGGCCACCAGCCAGGGGAUGGGCAGGCCUGUGUAGGAAGGGCAGCCUCUCAGUUGGAGGAAGUGGGGGUGUGGGACAGCCGAGGGCACUGAGAAAGUGGGGAAGACCACAUCUUCAUGGGAGGGUGGGACCAGCCCAGGCUGUGGGAGUGGCCUGCUGUGUGACCUCAGAGAGGCCACGAUCCCUACUAGCUGCCUCUAGGAAAGGAAUCUGAGCAUGAAGGAGUAGUGGGGACAGGGAGAUUUGCUUUUCACUAUAUAAUUUUUUGCAACUUUUUGAAAAAAGUACAUUUUUUUUUUGAGAGUCUUGCUCUGUCGCCCAGGCUGGGGUGCAGUGGCAUGAUCUCAGCUCACUGCAACCUCCACCUCCCGGGUUCAGGCAAUUCUCCUGCCUCAGCCUCCCAAGUAGCUGGGAUUACAGGCAUGCACCACCACGCCCGGCUAAUUUUUUUUUUUUUUUUUUGAGACAGAGUCUUGCUCUGUCACCCAGGCUGGAGUGCAGUGGCACCAUCUCAGCUCACUGCAAGCUCCACCUCCCUGGCUCAAGUGAUUCACCUGCCUCAGCCUCACGAGUAGCUUGGAUUACAGGUGCAUGCCACCAUGCCUGGCUAAUUUUUGUAUUUUUAGUAGAAACAGGGUUUUGUCAUAUUAGCCAGGCUGGUCUUGAACUCCUGGCCUCAAGUGAUUCUCCCACCUCGGCCUCCCAAAGUGCUGAGAUUACAGGUGUGAGCCACUGAACCUGGCCAGCUGAUUUUUUGUUGUUGUUGUUGUAUUUGUUUUGUAGAGAUGGAGUCUCCCUAUGUUGCCCAGGCUGGUCUUGAACUCCUGGGCUCAAGCAAUCCACUCACCUCAGCCUCCCAAAGUGCCAGGAUUACAGGCAUAAGCCACUGAGCCUGGCCUCUUUGUGAAAUUUUGUACUGUGUUUAUGUAUAGCCUAUUUAAAAACAGUAUUUAAAAAUAAUGGCUGGGCAGGGUGGCUCAUGCCUGUAAUCCAAGUGCUUUGGGAUGCCAAGGUGGAAGAAUCACUUGACCCCAGGAGUUCAAGAGCAGCCUGGGCAACAAAGUUAGACUAAUCUCUCCAAAAAAUUUAAAAAUUAGCAGGGCAUGGUGGCACGUGCUUGAGGUCCCAGCUACUCAGGAGGCUGAGGCGAGAGGAUUGCUUGAGCCCAGGAGGUCAGAGGCUGCAGUGAGCUGUGAUCAUGCCACUGCAGUCCAGCCUCGGCAACAGAGUGAGACCCUGUCUCAACAACAACAACAAAAGAAAUCUAAACAGGCAAUCAUUUCAUAUAUUAUGACAAAAUGAUGGUCUAGGCACACACCAUCAGGAUAUACCAUCCGGAUGUAUGAGAAAGCAACAGUAUUUGUCUUAGUCUAUUUUGUAAGAGAAUACCUGAGACCAGGUAACUUAUAAAGAACAGAGAUUCUUUUUUUUUGAGACAGAGUCUUACUCUGUUGCCUAGGCUGGAGUGCCGUGGCACAAUCUCAGCUCAUUGCAACCUCUGCUUCCCCAGUUCAAACAAUUCUCCUGCCUCAGCCUCCCAAGUAGCUGGGAUCACAGGUGCCCGCCACCACACCCGGCUAAUUUUUUGUAUUUUUAGCAGAGACAGGGUUUCACCAUGUUGGCCAGGCUGGUCUUGAACUCCUGACCUCAGGUGAUCCACAUGCCUUGGCCUCCCAAAGUGCUGGGAUUACAGGCGUGAACCACUACGUCCAGCUAGGAACAGAGAUUCAUUUCUUACAUUUCUGGAGGCUGGAAAAUCCAAGGCUGAGAGGCCUGCAUCUGGGCCUCUGGCUGUGUCUGUCAUCCCAUAACAAGAGGUGGAAGGGCAAAAAAGCAUGAGAGAGAAAGAGAGAGAGAGAGAGAAAGCAAGAGAGUACCAAACUUGCUUUUAUAAUAAACCCGCUCCGCUGAUAAGGACAUUAAUCCACACACAAAGUCAGAGCCCUUGCAAAAGGUCCCAGUCUCAACAUUGCUGCACUGGGGAUUAAGUUUCUGAGACAUGAUCAUUGAGGGACACAUUCAAACCAUAGCAGUAUUUUAAACAAUAUGGUGCCCAGCAAAAUAAAAGCUUCAAUAAUUGAAACAAAAUGAAGAGUUUGGAAGUAGAGCUAAUGAACAUAAAUAUUUGAUGUGAGAGAAAGCACGUUUGAAAGCAAGGAGGUAGGAAAAGUGAAUCUCUAUCCAUCUCUCUCCCUAGGUCCCUAGGUAACCUCAUUCAAUUCCACAGGCUUUCAAUAUUAUCUGUGUGCGAAUGACUCCCAAACUGGAUAUAUCCACAAGGCCUUGCCCCUGAACACAGCACCCAUUUCUAUAAUUUCCUGCCUGACAUUUUCACCUGCUGAGUGAUCCUCUUAAACUCACCAUAUCCCUCCCUCCCCAAAUUCCUCCUGUGCCUCCUUUCUCAUCUCAGUAGGUAGAAUUCUCACUACCUGGUUGCUCAAAUAGAAGUCCAGGCUUCAUCAUCAAUUCUUCUUUCUCUCCCCAGCACAUCCACUCCAAAGCAAGCCCGCCCCCUCCAUUGGCCCAUCCUUGCCCAGGCCACCAC